UUGGGAAUCUUGGACAAUGGGGGAAACCCUGAUCCAGCCAUGCCGCGUGAGUGAUGAAGGCCUUCGGGUUGUAAAACUCUUUCGACGGGGACGAUAAUGACGGUACCCGUAGAAGAAGCUCCGGCUAACUUCGUGCCAGCAGCCGCGGUAAUACGAAGGGGGCUAGCGUUGUUCGGAAUUACUGGGCGUAAAGCGCGCGCAGGCGGUUUUCCAAGUCAGUGUUGAAAGCCCGGAGCUAAACUCCGGAACUGCCAUUGAAACUGUUGAACUUGAGGACGAGAGAGGUGAGUGGAAUUCCCAGUGUAGAGGUGAAAUUCGUAGAUAUUGGGAAGAACACCAGUGGCGAAGGCGGCUCACUGGCUCGUUUCUGACGCUCAGGCGCGAUAGCGUGGGGAUCAAACA
rnacentral:rRNA from 1 species